UUGGGUGGUGAGGGAAGCACUCCUCCAUAUAUUUUCUUUGUUUUUUUAAUAAUAAUAAUUAAAAAAAAAGGGGUAAUGAUCAGAACGUAUGGAGUUCACGAGGGGAUUGUAAAGUUCACGAGCAAGAGAUACACAACACAAAAAGACGGCUGAGAAGGUAUUGGAGGGUGAAAUUGAAGGAAACCUUAACCCUUGAGUCAUCAUGUGGUCCUCAUUCUACAGGAUCCACUCAAAUAUUAUGGGAAAUGGUAUGAGACAGCAAUCUUGUGAAUGCCGAAACCCAUGGCUCCAAGUGUGGGAUGCUUUCCUUUUAACUGUUUUCCCUCCCAUCUAUGCUACUGAUGUCAAUGCGGCAGCCUGUGGCUUGGCUUUGUCACUCUUUGGAUGAGGGAGAGAGAAAGAGAGAUAGAGAGAAUUGAUUUGGGUGUGAGUAAGAGGGAAAGGGAUCGAUGGAUGGAAGAGGUCAGAGGUCAAAGACAGGAAGAUGUGUUGCUGGGCGAUGAAAAUGAGGUGUGCUUUCCAACAGUGGCUUGUCGCUAACUUCACGCCAGACACCUACAACCACGCCCACGUACGUGGCGUUCUACAAGCACUAACUUACAGCCAUUCCCCACUUUUUUAUAUUCGCAACUCACAAGUUUCCAACCUCUUUAUUUUUUUUUCAUAUGUAUUUUUUAUCAAAUGACAAUGGAAAUGAAAUUCAUGGUAAUUGACUAAUAGUUUAGCAGAUGCCAAAUGUUAAAGAGAUAGGCGUCUAUGGCCUGGCAUUGGUCCUAUCACAAGGUAUACCAGGAGGAUUCUGCUG